rnacentral:misc_RNA from 1 species
UUUCCGUAGGUGAACCUGCGGAAGGAUCAUUAAUGUAUAACCGAGGUGCGAGGGCUGUCGCUGACCCGUGAGUUCGUGCAAGCCCGAGUGUCUUCAUACACAUACAUCUCACCCCUAUGUGCACCACCGCGUGGGUCCCCCUUUGGCUUGUUCGGAGGGGGGCUUACGUUUUCACACAAAAUUUGUAUGCAGUGUAGAAUUUAUUUUUUGUUUUUGCGAUCACGCAAUCAAUACAACUUUCAACAACGGAUCUCUUGGCUCUC